AGCGAACGCUGGCGGCAGGCCUAACACAUGCAAGUCGAACGAACCCUUCGGGGUUAGUGGCGGACGGGUGAGUAACACGUGGGAACGUGCCUUUAGGUUCGGAAUAACUCAGGGAAACAUGUGCUAAUACCGAAUGUGCCCUUCGGGGGAAAGAUUUAUAGCCUUUAGAGCGGCCCGCGUCUGAUUAGCGAGUUGGUGAGGUAAUGGCUCACCAAGGCUACGAUCAGUAGCUGGUCUGAGAGGAUGACCAGCCACAUUGGGACUGAGACACGGCCCAAACUCCUACGGGAGGCAGCAGUGGGGAAUCUUGCGCAAUGGGCGAAAGCCUGACGCAGCCAUGCCGCGUGGAUGAUGAAGGUCUUAGGAUUGUAAAAUCCUUUCACCGGUGAAGAUAAUGACUGUAGCCGGAGAAGAAGCCCCGGCUAACUUCGUGCCAGCAGCCGCUGUAAAAC
rnacentral:rRNA from 1 species